rfam:Emmonsia parva TAMH 139 supercont1.962, whole genome shotgun sequence.
GGCCGGCUGGCGUAAUGGUAACGCGUCCGUUUCCGGCUCCCUUUUCUCUAAACCGGAUCCAUGAAAUAACAUCCAUACUUCUUGUCUUUAUGUGGAAGUGUGUAUGGUAUUCCUUGGCUAUAAUGUAUAUACGGAAGAUUUGCAGGUUCGAGUCCUGCGUCGGUCG